rnacentral:rRNA from 1 species
UUGAGAGCUUGCUUUUAUUAUUUUAGCGGCGGACGGGUGAGUAACGUGUGGGUAACCUGCCUUUUACUGGGGAAUAAUCACUGGAAACGGUGACUAAUACCGCAUAAUAUUCUUAGGAGGCAUCUUCUGAGAAGGAAAGGAGAAAUUCGGUAAAAGAUGGGCCCGCAUCUGAUUAGCUAGUUGGUGAGAUAACAGCCCACCAAGGCGACGAUCAGUAGCCGACCUGAGAGGGUGACCGGCCACAUUGGGACUGAGACACGGCCCAAACUCCUACGGGAGGCAGCAGUGGGGAAUAUUGCACAAUGGGGGAAACCCUGAUGCAGCAACGCCGCGUGAAGGAAGACGGUUUUCGGAUUGUAAACUUCUAUCAAUAGGGAAGAAAGAAAUGACGGUACCUAAAUAAGAAGCCCCGGCUAACUACGUGCCAGCAGCCGCGGUAAUACGUAGGGGGCAAGCGUUAUCCGGAAUUACUGGGUGUAAAGGGAGAGUAGGCGGCAAGGUAAGCGAUAUGUGAAAGCCUUAGGCUUAACCUGAGGAUUGCAUAACGAACUAUCUAGCUAGAGUACAGGAGAGGAAAGCGGAAUUCCUAGUGUAGCGGUGAAAUGCGUAGAUAUUAGGAAGAACACCAGUGGCGAAGGCGGCUUUCUGGACUGAAACUGACGCUGAGGCUCGAAAGCGUGGGGAGCGAACAGGAUUAGAUACCCUGGUAGUCCACGCUGUAAACGAUGAGUGCUAG